AUGACAAAGUUAACUGGGAAUUUCUCCUGGAAUGUCAUAAGCUGCGUGGGUUUAAUGAAACUUGGUGAGGUUGGGUCAAACACAUUCUUUAUAAUGGCACAGUCAGCAUCAAGCUCAACAACUGUGUGGGCCCCUACUUCCAGAGUGCAAAGGGGGUAUGACAGGGUGACCCGCACUCCCCAUUCCUGUUUAACCUUGCUGUUGAGUGCCUGA
rnacentral:rRNA from 1 species